UACGUAGGGUGCGAGCGUUAAUCGGAAUUACUGGGCGUAAAGCGUGCGCAGGCGGUUUUGUAAGCCAGAUGUGAAAUCCCCGGGCUCAACCUGGGAAUGGCAUUUGGGACUGCAAGGCUUGAGUGCGGCAGAGGAGACUGGAAUUCCUGGUGUAGCAGUGGAAAUGCGUAGAUAUCGGGAGGAACACCAAUGCGAAGGCAGCUCGCUGGGACGUUACUGACGCUGACGA
rnacentral:rRNA from 1 species